rnacentral:rRNA from 1 species
AUUGAACGCUGGCGGCAGGCCUAACACAUGCAAGUCGAGCGGAUGAAGGGAGCUUGCACCUGGAUUCAGCGGCGGACGGGUGAGUAAUGCCUAGGAAUCUGCCUGGUCGUGGGGGAUAACGUCCGGAAACGGGGGCUAAUACCGCAUACGUCCUGAGGGAGAAAGUGGGGGAUCUUCGGACCUCACGCUAUCAGAUGAGCCUAGGUCGGAUUAGCUAGUUGGUGGGGUAAAGGCCUACCAAGGCGACGAUCCGUAACUGGUCUGAGAGGAUGAUCAGUCACACUGGAAGUGGAACACCGUCCAGGGACCGACGGGAGGCACCAGUGGGGAAUGUUGGACGAUGGGCGGAAGACUGAACCAGCCAUGCCGCGUGGGUGAAGAAAGUCUGCGGAUUGGAAAGCACUUUAAGUUGGGAAGAAGGGCAGUAAGUUAAUACCUUGCUGUUGUGACGGUACCAACAGAAGAAGCACCGGCUAACUUCGUG